rnacentral:rRNA from 1 species
AUUGAACGCUGGCGGCAUGCUUUACACAUGCAAGUCGAACGGUAACAGGCCUUCGGGCGCUGACGAGUGGCGAACGGGUGAGUAAUGCAUCGGAACGUGCCCAGUCGUGGGGGAUAACUAUCCGAAAGGAUAGCUAAUACCGCAUACGAUCUGCGGAUGAAAGCGGGGGACCUCCGGGCCUCGCGCGUUUGGAGCGGCCGAUGUCAGAUUAGGUAGUUGGUGGGGUAAAGGCUCACCAAGCCAACGAUCUGUAGCUGGUCUGAGAGGACGACCAGCCACACUGGGACUGAGACACGGCCCAGACUCCUACGGGAGGCAGCAGUGGGGAAUUUUGGACAAUGGGCGCAAGCCUGAUCCAGCAAUGCCGCGUGCAGGAAGAAGGCCUUCGGGUUGUAAACUGCUUUUGUACGGAACGAAACGGCUCUGGUUAAUACCCGGGGCUAAUGACGGUACCGUAAGAAUAAGCACCGGCUAACUACGUGCCAGCCGCCGCAGUAACAC